AACGAACGCUGGCGGCAGGCUUAACACAUGCAAGUCGAACGGGCACCUUCGGGUGUCAGUGGCAGACGGGUGAGUAACGCGUGGGAACGUACCCUUCGGUUCGGAAUAACCCAGGGAAACUUGGGCUAACACCGGAUACGUCCGCAAGGAGAAAGAUUUAUCGCCGAAGGAUCGGCCCGCGUCGGAUUAGCUAGUUGGUGGGGUAAUGGCCCACCAAGGCGACGAUCCGUAGCUGGUCUGAGAGGAUGAUCAGCCACACUGGGACUGAGACACGGCCCAGACUCCUACGGGAGGCAGCAGUGGGGAAUAUUGGACAAUGGACGAAAGCCUGAUCCAGCCAUGCCGCGUGAGUGAAGAAGGCCUUAGGGUUGUAAAGCUCUUUCAGCGGGAAGAUAAUGACGGUACCCGCAGAAGAAGUCCCGGCUAACUUCGUGCCAGCAGCCGCUGU
rnacentral:rRNA from 1 species